rnacentral:rRNA from 1 species
UACAGAGGGGGCAAGCGUUGUUCGGAAUCACUGGGCGUAAAGCGCGCGCAGGCGGCGAUCUACGUCUGGGGUGAAAGCCCGGAGCUCAACUCCGGGACUGCCUUGGAUACGGGAUCGCUUGAGGAUUGGAGAGGCAAGGGGAAUUCCACGUGUAGCGGUGAAAUGCGUAGAUAUGUGGAGGAACACCUGUGGCGAAGGCGCCUUGCUGGCCAAUUUCUGACGCUGAGGCGCGAAAGCGUGGGGAGCAAACAGG